rnacentral:rRNA from 1 species
UACGUAGGCAGCAAGCGUUGUUCGGAGUUACUGGGCGUAAAGGGUGUGUAGGCGGUUGUUUAAGUUUGGUGUGAAAUCUCCCGGCUCAACUGGGAGGGUGCGCCGAAUACUGAAUGACUAGAGUGCGGGAGAGGAAAGUGGAAUUCCUGGUGUAGCGGUGAAAUGCGUAGAUAUCAGGAGGAACACCGGUGGUGUAGACGGCUUUCUGGACCGUAACUGACGCUGAGACACGAAAGCGUGGGCAGCAAACAGG